GACAGAGUAGGCGGACGGGGGAGUAAUGUCUGGGGAAACUGGCCUGAUGGAGGGGGAUAACUACUGGAAACGGUAGCUAAUACCGCAUAACGUCGCAAGACCAAAGAGGGGGACCUUCGGGCCUCUUGCCAUCGGAUGUGCCCAGAUGGGAUUAGCUAGUAGGUGGGGUAACGGCUCACCUAGGCGACGAUCCCUAGCUGGUCUGAGAGGAUGACCAGCCACACUGGAACUGAGACACGGUCCAGACUCCUACGGGAGGCAGCAGUGGGGAAUAUUGCACAAUGGGCGCAAGCCUGAUGCAGCCAUGCCGCGUGUAUGAAGAAGGCCUUCGGGUUGUAAAGUACUUUCAGCGGGGAGGAAGGCGAUAAGGUUAAUAACCUUGUCGAUUGACGUUACCCGCAGAAGAAGCACCGGCUAACUCCGUGCCAGCAGCCGCGGUAAUACGGAGGGUGCAAGCGUUAAUCGGAAUUACUGGGCGUAAAGCGCACGCAGGCGGUCUGUCAAGUCGGAUGUGAAAUCCCCGGGCUCAACCUGGGAACUGCAUUCGAAACUGGCAGGCUAGAGUCUUGUAGAGGGGGGUAGAAUUCCAGGUGUAGCGGUGAAAUGCGUAGAGAUCUGGAGGAAUACCGGUGGCGAAGGCGGCCCCCUGGACAAAGACUGACGCUCAGGUGCGAAAGCGUGGGGGAGCAAACAGGAUUAGAUACCCUGGUAGUCCACGCCGUAAACGAUGUCGACUUGGAGGUUGUGCCCUUGAGGCGUGGCCUUCCGGAGCUAACG
rnacentral:rRNA from 1 species